rnacentral:rRNA from 1 species
AAAUGUCCAACGAUUGACC